AUCGGCUGCGCGCACCUUUUCCCAAUUCCCCGAGCCCCGUGGUCCAGGCCUCCGCCGUUUCUCUCCUGCAUACACUUGGCGCCGGCAGGAUUCCGAGGUGAGUGGACCUGCGGCUCCUGAGGCUGACGGGACGGACAUGUGGCCACCCGCUAGUAUGUGGUUCCCGGUGGCGGAAGUCCAGCUGAAUUGGGCCCCUGCGGAAGGGUGGGAGUCCGUGGCUGGGACCCCGGUCAGCAUCGAGACGGCUCUGCGUAGCCUGCGAGAGCAGGUGCCGGAGAAGGCUCGGCCUGCCGUCGGACGGGCUGGCUGGCUGUUUUUGACGGCCUUAAGCCGCAACUUGGCUUCUGCCCUGCGGGAUGCUGCUCAGAUAUGGGAGCUGCGGGCCAAGGAGGAAGCCCUGGAGGCGCAGGUGCGACAGUUGGAACGGGAGCUGGAAGUGGCACCUCGCAGCGAGACGGCGGAGGACGCUGAGGACUGGGACGUAGAGGAAGCACGUCCUGUCCAUGCUCGGCUAGUAAUCCAGCAAAAGGUAAAGCAUGAGCAGCUCUUGGGUCCAGGAGGUGUCACCCAAGGAGCCCCGAUCGUGACAGAGUUCACGGCGUAUAGCCCCUAUAUGCCAACAGAACUGCGGGACCUGUGUAAGCAAUGUGGGCAGUGGCCAGGUGAACCCAUACCGGCCUGGCUCCUGCAGCUGUGGGAUGAGGGGGCUGGUAGUAUAGUCUGUACUCCUGGACCAGAUGGAGAAGCUAGCCUCCAUCACGUUGCACCCCUCCCGCAACCGCAGCAGAAUAGCCGCCGGCUAGCCCAAGGGCAUGGGAAACACUCCAUGGUGGAGUAGGUGACUGCUGCUGCCCAGACAGUGUGAGAUAAUGCCGGGGAGCUCCCAGAGACUGGGAGCCAAUGGCAGACCUGUGCAGAACUGGUUCCAGUUAUCCGUGAAUUGGGAAUUUGGCAAGCCAUUUGUAGCCUGAAUACCUGGGGCCCAAUGACUAGCACUUUAUGCCCAGGAUGAAGGAUUCGGUUCUUAACUCCGCCGGUGUAAUGUUUUUGGGUCCUUGGUGGCCAUUUUGGCACCCGAUGUGGGGCAUUGGAUACAUGAGGUAACCGCUGCAGUGGCCACUUUGGGGGACAUAGAAGGCUGACGGAGAAAACGGAGCCUGUCCCAUGGCAGGGGGUGCCCAAGCAGAGAGCAGGCUCAGUGGAGGAAGGGCCCAAGUGAGUCACCCAUAUGCAAAUAUGGAUAGACCUGCUAGCUGCUGGCAUUGAUCAGAGGACAAUACAUCAGCAAACUAAUGUUGGCUUGAUGGCACUGUGGCGCCAGUUGAAGCCUGAGCAACAGUUCCAAAAGACUGUGGGAACGGAAAAGAAUCUCGGCAAGAGCAGACAGAUCUAGAGCAAGCUGCUAAUUCCCUGUGGAGGCAUCUGGCAACAUAUGGUUGGCUGGCCAACGAUGCCAAAGUCCAGGGACCUGGCUUACCUGUGAAAUUCUUGGGGGUUGUCUGGUCGGGUAAGACGAGAGUGAUACCUGAGACAGUCAUUGAUAAAAUACACGCGUACCCCCUGCCAACAACUGUAGCUCAACUGCAAACAUUUCUGGGCCUGCUGGGGUACUGGCAAAUGUUUAUCCCUCAUUUAGCCCAGGUGGUGAGACCCCUAUAUGCUUUGGUAAAGAAGGGAGCCCUGUGGGACUGGACGGAUGCUGCGGACCAAGCGUUUAAGGCCGCCAAGCGUGCUGUGCAGCAGGCACAAGCUUUACAGGUGGCUGACCCAGGACGGCUACAUGACUUGGAUGUCCAUGUUACCCAGGAGGGUUUUGGCUGGGGCCUGUGGGAACGGCAUGACCAGGUACAAGCCCAUGUCAGGUUCUGGUCCCAACUGUGGAAAGGAGUGGAAAUAUGAUAUUCUCUAGUGGAGAAACAGUUGGCAGCCGCAUAUGCCACCCUGAUAGUGUUUGAGGCUAUCACAUGAAUGGCCCCUGUUCGGCUUAGAACCAUGUACCCCAUUCAAGGAUGGCUCCGGUCACGGGCUACCUGUCCACAGUCUGGCGUGGUCCAGACCCCUACCUUGUCAAAGUGGGGGGGCUUAUCUAGAAGAAAGGAGCUCGGAGGAAUUAUAGCAAGUAUUAGGGCCGGUUGAGUUUCUCGCUGUGGGGGAACAGAUUCCGACAGCUCCUCUAGAGAUAGAGCCCACGCCCUAUGCUGAGGGGAAGCCCCCUAUCCUGGAGAAUGCCUGGCAUACUGAUGGUUCUAGUAGGGGGCCGGCUGCUAUGUGGACAGCCAUAGCUGUGCAGCCAAGCACUGAUGCUAUUUGGUUUGAUACUGGCACCGGCCAAAGCAGCCAGUGGGCAGAAUUAUGGGCUGUCUGGAUGGUUAUCGCCCAUGAACCAGGGCCUUUAGCUGUUUGUACAGACAGCUGGGUGGUGUACUGGGGAUUGGCCCUAUGGUUAUCUGUGUGGGGGGCUCAGCAGUGGUUGGCCAGAAACCGCCCUAUGUGGGGGCAGGCCAUGUGGUAGGAACUGUGUGCCUUGGGCCAUGAAAAAGAGGUGACAGUGUAUCAUGUUCCCAGCCAUAUGCCUCUCACUGCUCCUGGGAAUGAUGCUCUGGCCCGUGUGAGAUGGCUAGAAAGGGCCCUGUCUGCAGAUGUGGCACACUGGCUACAUCGACCCCUAAAUCAUGCAGGGAGCAAGACCAUGGGAACAGUGAGUAAGCGCUGGGGGCUACCCGGCACAUGGCAACAAAAAAUGACAGCAUGUCAAGAAUGCACAGUAUGUGCCCAGGCCUUUCCUAAUAGAAGGAAACUAGUGUCCACACAGCAGCAAGUAGCUAGAGGGCGUGUGCCCUUGGUCCGAUGGCAGGUAAACUACAUCAGAUCGUUACCAAAGACCAAAGGUGCGGACACUUCAAGCCGUGCAGGUACUCUGUGCUCUUCAUGGUCAACCCUUGAUCGUGGAGAGCGACAAGGGGACACACUCUACAGGACAAGAAGUCCAGUGGUGGACCAGUACCACGGACAUUCAAUGGCUUUUCCAUACUCCUUACAACCCGGCUGCUGCUGGGAUAAUAGAGAGGUACAAUGGGCUUUUAAAGCAGGGCUUACACACAACCAUACAGCCCCCCCUUGUUGCGAGGCUGGGCAACUCGGUUGUGGCAGGUGCUGAUGGUGUUAAAAGCCUCAAAAGGGAGGGCCAGCCCCUGUAGAGGCAUUGCUACAUGGCAGCGUAGCCCCCAUACAGCUGCAAGUAAUAACCACUGAUGAGCUACUAAAGCCUGCUUAUGGCCAAAAGGGAAACAUUCUCUUGCCGGCCCCAGCGUGCCGCAACGUGCGGGAGGUACAAGAAUGGGAAAGGCCUUGGAAGAUAAAAGCCCCUCACUGCAGGUGGCUGGCACUUUUAGCGCCUUGGGGACUUGGGGAACAAUGAGACUUACAUGUCACCCCGUGGGUGACUAGCACUUGACCCCCUCGGGUAACUGUCAGGCUGCCACAGACUGAUGCUGGUUCUAUCCUGAAGGGGACGUAUGUGAUUUCCACGUGGCCAAUAAUGGGUUCCCCUGUACUGCUCCAUGUGGAGCUAGCGCGUGCAGCGCCUCUGCAGGCAGAAAAGAUGAGGUAUCAACGGCCGGAAAGGCCCCCGUUGGCAGCCACCCUCUUGUCCCAGGAUAAGAGACUAGCCUGCAUUCUGCCAGAAGGACGUGAUUUGCCUCUCCUAGUUCCUAUCACUGCUUUGUCCUUUUGCCCAUAGAUGGAGUGUGGCGAAGAGUGUUGUGGAAUGGGCGCACACCUAUGCUGAGGUGGCCAAGGUAUCUAACUGCUGGGUGUGCACAGAACUGCCCACCAGCACUGCAGAAGGCUUGCCGUGGCACAUCCUCCCUGCUUCAGAAGGGAGCUGGACCUGGCUGCGUUCCUAGGGACCCACCGAUGCUCAGUGGGACCAAAGAAGGCGCCAGGUGGACCAGCAGCUGUACCGACAACGUGGACAUAAAUGGCCCUCAGCGACCCCAAGCCUCUGGGAUGGCUAUGAGUGGUUACCCAGGGAGGCUGUUGCACUCCGCACGUCUAUGCCCCUAUGCAUAGAGCAACAGAAGGGGGAGGUAAUAGUAGGGUGGAUACCCAAGGAGCUGUGUCAAAAGAUUCAACAAGUGACCUGGCCCAAAUAUUGGUGGAAUGCCCAUCCCUAUGUGGGGACGGUCCCCACGGACAAAAUGCCUGUGGGCAGUCUCUGGGUAUGUGGUAGUUAUGGAUGGCCUUAUCUCCUGGCCAACUGGGCAGGGUGAUGUACCUGGGGGUGGUCCUACCUCCCGGCUACUGUUCGGAGAACCUUGGAUGUGCGCCCCAGCAAUUGGGAGAAGGUAAAAGGGCACUAUCACUGGGAGAAAUGAACGCCCUGGUGGUUUUACCCCCUGGCUGUUCUUAGUCUGUCCGCGGGGACUAUUGCUCUGCAGUGGCAGGUUACGGCCUUGGCGGAGCAUACCACCCGAGCCCUCAAUCAUACAGCCCCCGGGCCCUGUCUCUCUCAACUGAUGGAGUCCACCAGACCCGGAAGUAGUGUUGCAGAACUGCAAGGCUCUAGACAUUCUUACUGCAGCACAAGGGGGGACCUGUGCAGUUACUGAGGUGCAGUGUUGCAUGUAUAUACCAGAUAACGCAAGGAACAUAUCACAAGCCUUGCGACAGGCCAAGCAGGAGAUCUCACGGAUCCAGACAUUGAUGGGAGACGCCCUGCAGGAAUGGUGGUCUAAGCUGUCCUUCCCGUGGCAGUGGGCUCUCGCCACAUUAGGAGGUAUAACCUGUCUCUUGGUGGUCAUUUGCUGUUCUCUAUACUGUUGUUGUGGAAUGUGGGUCCAGGACGUUGGGCUGUGUGCCCGCAUCUCCCAUAGGCUCCCCCGACUGCUGCAGUCUGAUGGAGGUGGAGGGAAGGGGAGAUGGAGGUACUGUGGACCAUCAGACUGGAAGCCCAGGCAGAUGUGACUCAGCAUGUCCGCUGCAGGCAGCGCAUGCACUAACCAUGUAUGUAAACACCUUGUGUAACCUGUAUAAUGUAAACAUUGUAUGUCAUCUGGCGGUAUGCCACUUUUGUCUAGUAGUCAUAUAAAAGUGGCCACAAGGGGAGCUACUGUGCUCCCACUGUCUGUCUGCCAGAGUGAAUAAAGAGUAUGUCUGCUUUGCCA